AUUGAACGCUGGCGGCAUGCCUUACACAUGCAAGUCGAACGGUAACAGGUUAAGCUGACGAGUGGCGAACGGGUGAAUAAUGUAUCGGAACGUGCCCAGUUGUGGGGGAUAACUGCUCGAAAGAGCAGCUAAUACCGCAUACGACCUGAGGGUGAAAGCGGGGGAUCGCAAGACCUCGCGCGAUUGGAGCGGCCGAUAUCAGAUUAGGUAGUUGGUGGGGUAAAGGCCUACCAAGCCUACGAUCUGUAGCUGGUCUGAGAGGACGACCAGCCACGCUGGGACUGAGACACGGCCCUGACUCCUACGGGAGGCAGCAGUGGGGAAUUUUGGACAAUGGGCGCAAGCCUGAUCCAGCAAUGCCGCGUGCAGGAUGAAGGCCUUCGGGUUGUAAACUGCUUUUGUACGGAACGAAAAGGCGCCUACUAAUACUGGGUGUUGAUGACGGUACCGUAAGAAUAAGCACCGGCUAACUACGUGCCAGCAGCCGCUGUAACAC
rnacentral:rRNA from 1 species